GGAGAACAAACCGGGCAGGCGUACCGGUGCCGGUUGCUAACCGGUCAGCCGUUUUGCGGUGUGGUUCGAGUCCACUGUUCUCCGCCA
rnacentral:tRNA from 1 species